CAUCACGUGACGCCCGGCAGUGCCGCGAGGGGUCGGCGGUGGCUCUCGCUCCCGCUGGCACGGUCUGCGCACGGGUGAUUCCCGCCGAAUGAAGCGCACUGUGGCGUGAUGGCGAGGGCCUAGGGGAAGGCGCAGACAGGCCUGGACGCCGCCUGUAGCUGCCUUCGGCCUCCCGGCCUCUGCGCUCUUUCCUGCGCCGUUGCUAGGCAGCCGCAUCUGGGCGCGGGAGGCAGGGCGGGCUAAUGCGGAAAGACUGGAGAGAUCGUUGCCCUCAAGAAGGUGGCCCUGCGGCGGCUGGAGGAUGGCAUCCCCAACCAGGCCCUGCGGGAGAUCAAGGCCUUGCAGGAGAUCGAGGACAGUCAGUAUGGCCUGGCAGGCUAGGCACUAAUUGCAUGUUGACUGACCAGCUACUCUUCUGGGUCUGGAAUGAGGCUUCAAGGACCAAGGAACUGUGGAGGAUCCUAGCUCCCCGACCAGGGAUAGAACCCAGGCCCUCAGCAGUGAAAGCGCAGAGUCCUAACCACUGGACCACCAGGGAAUUCCCUGAAAGCUCAUUCUUGUCUGAAGAGUACCAUUCUGUGUGGCCCCAGAUAAAUUUUUCCAGCAAAGGAAACCAUAAACAAGAUGAAAAGGCAACCCUCAGAAUGGGAGAAAAUAUUUGCAAACGAAUCACGGACAAAGGAUUAAUCUCCAAAAUAUAUAAACAGCUCAUUCAGCUCAAUAUUAAAGAAACAAACAACCCAAUCGAAAAAUGGGCAGAAGACCUAAAUAGACAUUUCUCCAAAGAAGACAUACAGAUGGACAAGAAGCACAUGAAAAGCUGCUCAACAUCACUAAUUAUUAAAGAAAUGCAAAUCAAAACUACAAUGAGGUAUCACCUCACACCAGUUCGAGUGGGCAUCAUCAGAAAAUCUACAAACAACAAAUGCUGGAGAGGGUGUGGAGAAAAGGGAACCCUCUUGCACUGUUGGUGGGAAUGUAAAUUGAUGCAGCCACUAUGGAGAACAAUAUGGAGGUUCCUUAAAAAACUAAAGAUAGAAUUACCAUAUGAUCCAGCAAUCCCACUACUGGGCAUAUACCCAGAGAAAACCGUAAUUCAAAAAGACACAUGCACCCCAAUGUGCAUUGCAGCACUAUUUACAAUAGCCAGGUCAUGGAACCAACCUAAAUGCCCAUGGACAGACAAAUGGAUAAAGAAGUUGUGGUACAUAUAUACAAUGGAAUAUUACUCAGCCAUAAAAAGGAACGAAAUUGAGUCAUUUGUUAAGACGUGGAUGGAUCUAGAGACUGUCAUACAGAGUGAAGCAGCUGUGUCUGAGAUGCUGGUCCUCCUGUAAAGCCUCCCAGACGACCCUGGGCACACAGACAUGGACACAGUACUAUCUCUGCUGAUCCGAGCUGGAGUUCCGAAUGGAAUCUGGGUGGCCAGAGAAGGACUUUAUCUGCAAAGCCAUUGCUGGGCACAAAGGAGAGAUAGAUGAGCUGGCCUACAUCUCAACCAAAGAGUACUGGUUUGAUGGGCGGGAGAAGUCCGUGGUGUGCACCGUGUCGUCAGAUGGCACCGUGUGUGCCUGGGAUCUGCAAGAGGGCACGGAGAUCUGUCGAGCCCUCUACAGCCUGCAGCUCCGGUGAAUUUGGUGACUUACCCUCGGCUGCAACUGGUUGUCACCGUGGACGAGCGGGGACUGAUCAAAGUAUGGAAAGCAGAGAACGGGUGUGAGCAAGCCUCCUGCCUGCCUACAUACUGUGACUUUCCAGAAGGCCCCCUCCUGCUGCAAGGAGACUCCAGUGGCUGUGCGGAGCCUGCAGGAUGCUACCUCCACGUCCCAAGGCAUAAUACGUACCUGGGAACAGAGAGUCACCUGUGAUCUGAACCUGAACCUGUGAUCACCUCUGUCACCACUAGGGCCCAGAUGUAGCCCUCAGCUUUCACUUUGAUGGUGUGCUGUGCGGGGCUGAGGUCGGUAGGUUUUGUAUCAGAAGCACUGAUUUUCUUGAGGUUGCCCUGUCGGAGGAUGGGGCAGGAUCAACCCCCUACACAAAAUUUGGCUCAGAUUUGGAGACUGCUGACUUUACACAUGCACCAGUGGGGUACGGAAAAGGGUAUCCCCCCAAAAUUCAGGUCUACCCAGAGCCUCAGAAUGUGACCUUCUUUGGAAACGGUGCUGCUGCGAUGUAUGUAUGUAUUUAUUUAUUUAACAUCUUUGUUGGAGUAUAAUUGCUUUACAAUGGUGUGUUAGUUUCUGCUUUAUAACAAAGUGAAUCAGCUGUACAUGUACAUAUAUCCCCAUAUCUCCUCCCUCUUGCAUCUCCCUGCCACCCUCCCUAUUCUGCGAUGUAUUUAGUUAAGGAUCUCAAGAUGCAAUCAUCCUGGAUUUAGUCUGGGCCCUUAAUCUAACGGUAUCUUGCUAAGAAAAGGAGAGGGCACAGAGACACACACAGAGAAGCCAUGUGCAGAUGCCGCAGACAUUGGAGUGUGCUGUUACACGCCAAGGAAAGCCCUAGAACCUUCAGAGGAAGCAGAGCCCUGCUGGUACCUUGACUUUGGGCCUCUAGCCUCCAGAACUGUGAGGGAGUAAAUUUUUGUUUUUUUAAGCCACCCUGUUUUGUUACUUCAGCCCUAGGAAAUUAAUACAAGACUCAUCUAAAACAGAACACUUAAGGAGGAUGGAAUUAAAAGGAUGGGAAAAGGCGUUGGAGAUGCCAACCAGAAGCAAGCUCACACAGCUGGUAAUGUUAGACGAGAAGACCGGAAGAUCAAAGUGUUUACUAGAUCUUAGGGAUCAUUUCAAAAUAAUAAUUUGAUCAGCCUCCCAGAAAGAUACAGCGAGGCUAAUUUUGAAUGCACUUUAAAGUAUGGCCUAAAAUAUAUAUGGAACAAAAAUGUGUGGAAUUUCAAGGAGAAAUGGUUAAAGUUACAAGCAUCACGAGAAAUUUCUGUUACCUGGCUAAAGAGAGAUGAUCUGGGCGGGCCCACUUUAAUUCCAUGAGUGCUUCAAAGGCAGAGUUUUCUCUGACUGGUCACAGAAGAGGAAGUCAGAGACUCACGGGUGCGGGGGCCUCCCGUGCUGGCUGCCAGGCUGUCGGUGGGCCUGAGGACAAGAAUAGUCUCUGCCACCAGCCAGCAGGCAGGGAAACCUUAGUUCUGUAGCCACAGUGUCCUGGACUGCCAACGACCUGAAUGGGGCCCCAGUGAGAACCCAGCACCUUGACGCCUUGGCUUAGCUUUGUGUGACUUCGUCUCACGGGUUAUUGGGAAGAUGAUCUACAUAUAGGUCUGUGGCUCAUUUCAAGUUAAAUUAUAUUUGUGUGCAUGGUCAGCGUCAGGGUUCAUUUUUAUUUACAAAUGGGUAUCCAGAAUUUGUAGGAAAGACCAUCCUUUCUUCAUCAAAUUAUAUCAUCACCUUCGUUUGUCAAAAUAUCAAAUGACUGUAUGUGUUAUAUGUGUUAUAUGUUGAACAUGUGGGUCAGUCUCCACUGAUCUGUUUGUCUGUCCUCAUGACAGUAACACAGGGUCUUGUUUCCCACAGAUUACAGUUAAGUCGUGACCUCCAGCAUUUUCUUUUUUGGAAAAUAUAUCCAUUUCCAUAAAAUUUGUCAAGUCAGCUUGGAAAUUUCUACAAAACUGCUUACUGGGAUUUUGAUUACUUUGAAUCUAUAGAUUGAUUUGGGGAUAACUGACAUCUUAAUGUUUAGUCUUCUAAGCCAUGAACAUGGCAUAUAUGACCCCAUUUAUAUAGGCCUUCAUUUAUUUCUCUCAACAAAGCUUUG